rnacentral:rRNA from 1 species
UACGUAGGGUGCGAGCGUUGUCCGGAAUUAUUGGGCGUAAAGAGCUCGUAGGCGGUCUGUCACGUCGGAUGUGAAAGCCCGGGGCUUAACCCCGGGUCUGCAUUCGAUACGGGCAGACUAGAGUGUGGUAGGGGAGAUCGGAAUUCCUGGUGUAGCGGUGAAAUGCGCAGAUAUCAGGAAGAACACCCGUGGCGAAGGCGGCUCUCUGGGACGGUACUGACGCUGAGACGCGAAAGCGUGGGGAGCGAACAGG